GUAAUGGUGUCUUUAGACACCACCUCUUAUCUUUGAAAAAAAAUCCU
rfam:Picea glauca, whole genome shotgun sequence.